rnacentral:misc_RNA from 1 species
GGGAAGUUCUUAUAAUCUUUGUGGUAUUUUGUAUUAUUUCUGUUGAACUUUCUAGAAUAUAUUUGAUGUGGCAUAAAUUUAUAGGUUGUUACCGGAUGAUAGUGCACUAGUUAUUUUUAAUGAGGGUUACAAAAUCUAGGAAGUUUUUAGAAUGCUAAAUCCACAACAUUUUUUUUAAAUUUUUUUUAUUUUAGUUCUUAAGAAUGAUGUUAUUUAGUGUAAUCUAACACAAGGGAGAUUUUGUUUUUAAAUCAACUUUUUGUUCUCUGCAUGCAGAUCCAAUUAGUUAGUUUAUGG